rnacentral:tRNA from 1 species
AUUUAAGUAGUUUAUAAAAAACAUUGAUUUGUGGAAUCAAAAAAAUAUUUUUAUAUCUUAGAUA